UACGGAGGUGCAAGCGUUAUCCGGAUUCACUGGGUUAAAGGGUGCGUAGGCGGGCAGGUAAGUCCGUGGUGAAAUCUCUGAGCUUAACUCAGAAACUGCCAUGGAUACUAUUGUCUUGAAUGUUGUGGAGGUAAGCGGAAUAUGUCAUGUAGCGGUGAAAUGCUUAGAUAUGACAUAGAACACCAAUUGCGAAAGGCAGC
rnacentral:rRNA from 1 species